GCGGCGGACGGGUGAGUAACACGUGGGCAACCUGCCCUGCAGACUGGGAUAACUUCGGGAAACCGGAGCUAAUACCGGAUAACACCGAAAACCGCAUGGUUUUCGGUUGAAAGGCGGCUUUUAGCUGUCACUGCAGGAUGGGCCCGCGGCGCAUUAGCUAGUUGGUGAGGUAACGGCUCACCAAGGCGACGAUGCGUAGCCGACCUGAGAGGGUGACCGGCCACACUGGGACUGAGACACGGCCCAGACUCCUACGGGAGGCAGCAGUAGGGAAUCUUCCGCAAUGGACGAAAGUCUGACGGAGCAACGCCGCGUGAGCGAAGAAGGUCUUCGGAUCGUAAAGCUCUGUUGUCAGGGAAGAACAAGUGCGUUCGAACAGGGCGGUACCUUGACGGUACCUGACGAGGAAGCCACGGCUAACUACGUGCCAGCAGCCGCGGUAAUAC
rnacentral:rRNA from 1 species